GACGAACGCUGGCGGCGUGCUUAACACAUGCAAGUCGAACGGAAAGGCCCCAGCUUGCUGGGGUACUCGAGUGGCAAACGGGUGAGUAACACGUGGGUGAUCUGCCCUGCACUCUGGGAUAAGCCUGGGAAACUGGGUCUAAUACCGGAUAGGACCGUGCUUUAGUGUGUGCGGUGGAAAGUUUUUCGGUGCAGGAUGAGCCCGCGGCCUAUCAGCUUGUUGGUGGGGUAAUGGCCUACCAAGGCGGCGACGGGUAGCCGGCCUGAGAGGGUGUACGGCCACAUUGGGACUGAGACACGGCCCAGACUCCUACGGGAGGCAGCAGUGGGGAAUAUUGCACAAUGGGCGCAAGCCUGAUGCAGCGACGCCGCGUGGGGGAUGACGGCCUUCGGGUUGUAAACCCCUUUCGGCAGGGACGAAGCUUUUGUGACGGUACCUGCAUAAGAAGCACCGGCUAACUACGUG
rnacentral:rRNA from 1 species